AUUAUAAUCUCAAUACUAAUUAUUUUCCCAGCUCAUAUUUUCAAACCGACCUUUCCCUGUGUAUAUAUAGAGCUCCGCAUUUUGGGUACAUUUCCACAAACAAGCCUUCUGCUGCCGCGUACAUCUCAAGCUUUCUGUUCUCUCUACGGAGCUUACUGAUUCAAUCUGCAAUGGCUGAUGCUCAUGAAACUGAUAAGAAUAUUGAGAUAUGGAAGAUUAAGAAACUCAUAAAAGCACUUGAGGCAGCUCGAGGUAAUGGAACGAGCAUGAUUUCUCUUAUUAUGCCUCCACGUGAUCAAAUAUCACGAGUCACUAAGAUGCUUGGAGAUGAAUUCGGAACUGCAUCUAACAUUAAAAGUAGGGUGAACCGACAAUCUGUUCUGGCUGCGAUUACAUCUGCUCAGCAAAGACUAAAGCUUUACAAUAAAGUACCACCCAAUGGGCUUGUGCUUUACACUGGAACUAUCGUGACUGAUGAUGGGAAGGAGAAGAAGGUCACCAUUGAUUUUGAGCCUUUUAGACCUAUCAAUGCGUCUUUGUAUCUCUGUGACAACAAGUUCCAUACAGAAGCGCUGAAUGAACUUCUAGAAUCUGAUGACAAGUUUGGCUUCAUUGUUAUGGAUGGUAAUGGGACACUCUUUGGAACUUUGAGUGGCAAUACAAGGGAGGUCCUUCACAAGUUUAGCGUUGACCUCCCCAAGAAGCAUGGAAGAGGAGGGCAGUCAGCUCUCCGGUUUGCUCGUCUUCGAAUGGAGAAGCGCCAUAACUAUGUCAGGAAGACUGCAGAACUUGCUACUCAGUUCUAUAUAAAUCCGUCAACAAGUCAACCCAAUGUCUCAGGACUAAUUCUUGCUGGAUCAGCCGACUUUAAGACCGAACUUAGUCAGUCUGACAUGUUUGAUCCCCGUCUUCAGGCAAAAAUUUUGAAUGUGGUGGACGUCUCUUAUGGCGGUGAAAAUGGUUUUAAUCAGGCAAUUGAGUUGUCAUCUGAAAUCUUAUCCAAUGUCAAGUUUAUCCAGGAGAAGCGUUUGAUAGGCAAAUAUUUUGAGGAGAUAAGUCAGGAUACUGGGAAGUACGUGUUUGGUGUGGAUGACACAUUAAAAGUUCUUGAGAUGGGUGCUGUUGAGACUCUCAUUGUGUGGGAAAACCUGGAUGUGAUUAGAUAUACUCUAAAGAAUAUUUCCACAGGUGAAGUUCUUGUUAAGCACUUUAAUAAGGAGCAAGAGGCUGAUCAGAACAACUUUAGGGACCCAGCUAGUAAUUCUGACCUGGAGGUUGAGGAUAAGCUCUCCUUGCUUGAGUGGUUUGCUAACGAGUAUAAACGGUUUGGCUGCACUCUGGAGUUCGUCACCAACAAGUCACAAGAGGGAUCUCAGUUUUGUAGAGGUUUUGGAGGAAUUGGAGGGAUCUUGCGAUACCAGCUUGAUGUUCGAGCUUUUGAUGAGCUGUCUGAUGAAGGAGAAGUUUACGAUGAUUCUGAAUAGCAAUCAAUUAACUUCUUAAAUGCUGGUGCAGGGAGGCAGCACCAAGCCUGCACCAGUGCGCAAGGGCUCGCGCAGGUUCAUCCGGAUAUGGUGCUAGUGCCUGAAAGAUUUCAAGGAGUUAUAUAAAGAUAUGAAGUAUCAGGUGAAAAGAAUUUACCAGUCCCUCCCACGUUUCUACUGGGAGGUGAUACGAAGGUUGCACUGUUUGAUAAUCAACUUGCUUGCUGGAAGAAUUAAGUACUAAAGAUACUCAAGAAGCAUUGGAGGAGCUUGCUCCUUGGGCAGUUGGUUUUGGAAGCAUAUUCCAUGUACUUUCUUGAGAGAGAAACUUACAUUUAGUAGUUCUAUGUAGGAUGUAUGGUGUGGGAUUGCGUCAAGUCUGCAGUAUUUUCCAUAGAACAUGGCUACUAUUAGUUCUAUGGCUACUAUUAAAGUGUUUGCGGUGAAUAAUGGACAGCUAUUAUAUUGUCUAUGAUGAUGAUGAUGUUGCGUUGUGGUAAAUGUCAACAAUUGUGGACCUGUUGACAUUGACUUUGGCAUGUCUAGUGUUUGUGGCAAUAGUAGAAAAUGGUAUUUUUGGAUCAGUGAUCCUGUAACCUGUUGCCCAGAGCCCUGUUACGUUGUUUUAGUUGCUUUGAAUGUUGGUUUGCAAAAGAGACGUGUUUGUGGGAGUCUUUCGAUUU